UUGAAUUAUUAAUUUUAUUUU
rnacentral:piRNA from 1 species